AACACGAAACCGCGUAUGGCUCAUUAUAACAGCUAAAAUUUACUUGAUUUUGACUUUUAUCCUACAUGGAUAACUGUGGUAAUUCUGGAGCUAAUACAUGCAUAAAAGAUGUUAUAUUUGAUUGUAACAUUGCGUAUAUUAGUAUUAAAACCAAGCAUUCUUCGGAAUGUUUAGUGUUGAACCUGAAUAUAUCUGCUGAUCGUAUAGUCUUGUACUGACGAUAUGUCAUUCAAGUGUCUGAUCUAUCAACUUUCUAUAUAAGUAUAUAGUACUUAUAUGGUUUUGACGGAUAACGGGGUAUUAGGGUACGACUCCGGAGAAAAUGCCUGAGAAACGGCGUUUACAUCCAAGGAAGGCAGCAGGCGCGAAAAUUACCCACUCUCAGUUCGAGGAGGUAGUGACGAGAAAUGACAAGAUCUAUUCCUUCGGGGAUGGAUCAUUGGAAUGGUUUGAUUUUAAAAUCAUUAAAGAGUAUCAAUGAGAGGGCAAGUCUGGUGCCAGCAGCCG
rnacentral:rRNA from 1 species